rnacentral:rRNA from 1 species
CCUACGGGUGGCAGCAGUGAGGACUAUUUGUCAAUGGACGAGAGUCUGAACCAGCCAAGUAGCGUGAAGGAUGACUGCCCUAUGGGUUGUAAACUUCUUUUAUAUGGGAAUAAAAUGUUCCACGUGUGUGAUUUUGUAUGUACCAUAUGACUAAGGAUCGGCUAACUCCGUGCCGGCAGCCGCGGUAAUACGGAGGAUCCGCGCGUUAUCCGGAUUUAUUGGGUUUAAAGGGAGCGUAGGUGGAUUGUUAAGUCAGUUGUGAAAGUUUGCGGCUCAACCGUAAAAUUGCAGUUGAUACUGGCAGUCUUGAGUACAGUAGAGGUGGGCGGAAUUCGUGGUGUAGCGGUGAAAUGCUUAGAUAGCACGAAGAACUCCGAUUGCGAAGGCAGUUCACUGGACUGCAACUGACACUGAGGCUCGAAAGUGUGGGUAUCGAACAGGAUUAGAUACCCCUGUAGUC